AAGCACAACAACAUCACUAUUCGUAUAAUCCCGGGGAUUGGCCUGGGAGUCUCUACGAGGUCACCAUAAUGACCUGGCUACGAUAUAAAGGGAUGCCGUU
rnacentral:ncRNA from 1 species